rnacentral:rRNA from 1 species
AGCGAACGUUUGCGGCGGGCUUAACACAUGCAAGUCGAACGAGAAUCCCUUCGGGGAGGAAAGUGGCGCACGGGUGCGUAACACGUGGAUGACCUACCCCUUGGUUCGGGACAACAGCGGGAAACUGCUGCUAAUACCGGAUGUGUCGCGAAAGCGAGAAAGGCCCGCAAGGGUCGCCAGAGGACGGGUCCGCGUCCCAUCAGCUAGUUGGUGAGGUAAUGGCUCACCAAGGCGAAGACGGGUAGCUGGUCUGAGAGGAUGAUCAGCCACACUGGAACUGAGACACGGUCCAGACUCCUACGGGAGGCAGCAGUGGGGAAUAUUGCGCAAUGGGCGAAAGCCUGACGCAGCCACGCCGCGUGAGCGAUGAAGGUCUUCGGAUCGUAAAGCUCUGUGGGGGGAGAAGAAGAAAGUCGGUGAAGAGCCGGCCCUGACGGUAUCCCCUUAGCAAGCACCGGCUAACUCCGUGCCAGCCGCCGCAGUAACAC